rnacentral:rRNA from 1 species
UACAGAGGGUGCGAGCGUUAAUCGGAAUUACUGGGCGUAAAGCGCACGUAGGUGGCGACGUAAGUCGGGUGUGAAAGCCCCGGGCUCAACCUGGGAAUUGCAUUCGAGACUGCAUUGCUGGAGUACGGAAGAGGAAGGCGGAAUUCCCGGUGUAGCGGUGAAAUGCGUAGAUAUCGGGAGGAACAUCAGUGGCGAAGGCGGCCUUCUGGUCCAGUACUGACACUCAAGUGCGAAAGCGUGGGAGCAAACAGG